UACGUAGGGUGCAAGCGUUAUCCGGAAUCACUGGGCGUAAAGCGUCUGUAGGUGGUUUUAAUAAGUCAACUGUUAAAUCUUGAGGCUCAACCUCAAAAUCGCAGUCGAAACUAUUAGGCUAGAGUAUAGUAGGGGUAAAGGGAAUUUCCAGUGGAGCGGUGAAAUGCGUAGAGAUUGGAAAGAACACCGAUGGCGAAGGCACUUUACUGGGCUAUUACUAACACUCAGAGACGAAAGCUAGGGUAGCAAAUGGG
rnacentral:rRNA from 1 species